CAGCAGCCGCGGGAAUACGAAGGGGGCUAGCGUUGUUCGGAAUUACUGGGCGUAAAGCGCACGAAGGCGGACAUUUAAGUCAGGGGUGAAAUCCCGGGGCUCAACCCCGGAACUGCCUUUGAUACUGGGUGUCUAGAGUAUGGAAGAGGUGAGUGGAAUUCCGAGUGUAGAGGUGAAAUUCGUAGAUAUUCGGAGGAACACCAGUGGCGAAGGCGGCUCACUGGUCCAUUACUGACGCUGAGGUGCGAAAGCGUGGGGAGCAAACAGGAUUAGAUACCCCGGUAGUCCCUGUCUCUUAUAU
rnacentral:rRNA from 1 species